rnacentral:rRNA from 1 species
AUGCUAACUGUAGAAGAGUUUGAAUCUGCCUGGAAUUUCGUUAUGGUAAAAUAUUGUUUGCAGGAACAUCCUUUUAUGACUAGAGCAUACGAGUGUAGGCACAAAUGGGCUAAACCAUAUUUUAGCAAAGUUUUCUGUGCUAGAAUGUGUAGCACUCAACGUAGUGAGUGUGCAAACUUUAUGCUGAAGAUACAUACUGUAUGCAAUUCUUCAAUAAAUGCAUUCAUUACCCAGUACACUAAGCUUAUAGACGAUCGUGAGAGUUGUGACGCAGAUGCUAAAAGGAAAAACAAACAGAAAAUAAUUAAGGUCCAUUUUGGAUAUCCAAUGGAGAAGCAUGCUUCAGUUAUCUAUACUGCAAAGGUUUAUAAUCUAUUCAAGAAGGAGCUCAUUAAGUCAACAUCAUACCUUGUGCUUCCUAGCAAGGAGGAACAUACUUUUGUUGUGAAGCACGUCCUGGCCGAGUCUAGGGAAUCGUGGUCGAAAGUAAUAUACAAAAUCAAAGUAGACAAGUCUAUUGGAUAUUACACUUGUGAAUGUGGACUUUACGAACAUUUUGGUGUUCUUUGUAGCCACGUCCUAGCGAUUUUUGUGAACCGAGGUGUCUGCAAAAUUCCAGAUUGUCAUAUAAUGAAGCGGUGGACAAAGCAAGCAAGGUCAUCUAGUUUCAACAAUAAGUUGGAGAAGUAUAUCGGCGACACGAACGAGGAAUCGAGAUCAUUUAGGAACAAGCUAUUAUAUUUUGCUGCAAUAGAUAUAGUGAAUGAAGCUGAAAAUGAUCAAGAUGCUUUUGCAAUUGCAAAGUCUAAUUUUACUCGCUGCAAGAAGGAAUUACAUGAGCACAGACUUUCAAAGACAACUACAUGCCAGGUCGGAUAUGGAUCAAUCCCUGAACAUGAAGUAACUACACAUUCUGUUGUUCAAUAG